rnacentral:rRNA from 1 species
CACGUAGGGCGCGAGCGUUGUCCGGAAUUAUUGGGCGUAAAGAGCUCGUAGGCGGCCUGUUGCGUCCGCUGUGAAAGCCCGGGGCUUAACCCCGGGUCGGCAGUGGAUACGGGCAGGCUAGAGGUAGGUAGGGGAGAAUGGAAUUCACGGUGUAGCGGUGAAAUGCGCAGAUAUCGGGAGGAACACCGGUGGCGAAGGCGGUUCUCUGGGCCUUACCUGACGCUGAGGAGCGAAAGCGUGGGGAGCGAACAGG